UCGAGAAUUUUUCACAAUGGGGGAAACCCUGAUGGAGCGACGCCGCGUGGAGGAUGAAGGCCUUCGGGUUGUAAACUCCUGUCAUGCGGGAACAAGCAAGUGAUAGUACCGCAAGAGGAAGAGACGGCUAACUCUGUGCCAGCAGCCGCGGUAAUACAGAGGUCUCAAGCGUUGUUCGGAUUCAUUGGGCGUAAAGGGUGCGUAGGUGGUGAUGCAAGUCUGGUGUGAAAUCUCGGAGCUCAACUCCGAAAUUGCACCGGAUACUGCGUGACUCGAGGACUGUAGAGGAGAUCGGAAUUCACGGUGUAGCAGUGAAAUGCGUAGAUAUCGUGAGGAAGACCAGUUGCGAAGGCGGAUCUCUGGGCAGUUCCUGACACUGAGGCACGAAGGCCAGGGGAGCAAACGG
rnacentral:rRNA from 1 species